rnacentral:rRNA from 1 species
AUUGAACGCUGGCGGAAUGCUUUACACAUGCAAGUCGAACGGCAGCAUAGGUGCUUGCACCUGAUGGCGAGUGGCGAACGGGUGAGUAAUACAUCGGAACGUACCUUAUCGUGGGGGAUAACGCAGCGAAAGCUGUGCUAAUACCGCAUACGCCCUGAGGGGGAAAGCGGGGGAUCGCAAGACCUCGCGCGAUUAGAGCGGCCGAUGCCUGAUUAGCUAGUUGGUGGGGUAAAAGCCCACCAAGGCGACGAUCAGUAGCUGGUCUGAGAGGACGAUCAGCCACACUGGGACUGAGACACGGCCCAGACUCCUACGGGAGGCAGCAGUGGGGAAUUUUGGACAAUGGGGGCAACCCUGAUCCAGCAAUGCCGCGUGAGUGAAGAAGGCCUUCGGGUUGUAAAGCUCUUUUGUCAGGGAAGAAACACCGGCUCUAACACAGUCCGGGAAUGACGGUACCUGAAGAAUAAGCACCGGCUAACUACGUG